ACAUCGAUUCGACCGCGAAGGAAGAGCCGUGCACCGGUUUGACAGUCGAUAUAAUCGGAGAGUCCAAUCCGCGGAGGUGCGAACGAAACGAGUGGAACGGCUGCUCGACGGUGAACGGAUCGCGCGGCGCGUUCUGUCCGGUGCGCGAAUGUAAACGACGGCUCGCGGCGGCUCCAUCCGGUGGCGACGGUGGUCCGGGCAAUUAUUUACCUUGAAAAUACGCUUCGACGGGUGAGCAUUUCCGUGUUCCCCCGAGCGAGAGCGAGCUCGAAAUCAUGCAGAACUAUGGACACGAGGAUUACGACUAUGGUGUGUCGAACGACGCCCAGCCGUCGGGCAGAGUUCUCCCCCAGAUGCCGGGGGGCACCGCCAGGCCGAAGGUGGACCCGCAGGCCGAGGGUGAGGUCGAUCCCACCAUGUACCCCCAGCCGAAGGAGGCCACGCACAAGAUUCGCGGUAAGAGCGACAUCCUGGAGUAUCUGUUCGGCGCCGUCGACCAGGAGCUCCUCACCGUGAAGACCUUCUACUUUUUCUUCUACUCGGCCUUCGGCUCCCUGUUCCCGCUCAUGGGGGUGUAUUUCAAGCAGAUGGGCAUGAACGCGGGUCAAUGCGGCCUCCUCAUCGGUCUCAGGCCGUUCAUCGAGUUUAUGAGCGCCCCUUUCUGGGGCUCCUUGGCCGACAGAUGGCAAAAAGGCAAACUUCUCUUAUUGGCAUCCCUUUCUUGCUGGAUCAUUUUCACUCUGCCAUUGGGCUUCGUUCAGCCUCCACCCACCUCUUGCAUAGUCAAGCGAAACGAUACUCCUCCGAUCUACUAUCUGGAGGCAUCCAACAGGGAACAAAGAAUUGUAAAAAGAUCGACCGACCUGGAAGAAUUGUAUUACCCUCCAGAGAAUAAAGAGGAGUACCUGGAGGUCGCAUCCAACGUCGUCUUCGAGAGAUUACGACGAAGUACGGACGAUAACGAGAUAUAUGAUUAUAUGAAGAAAUCGAACCCGAAGGAAUUUAGUGCAGCAUUCGGAACAUCUUACGAUGUUGAGAGAAACGGUGUUAGAGAUUUCGAUAACGGCGGUUCUAUUAUGUACGAUUUGAGAAAUAACAGAGUCAGAAGACAAACGUCCGUCACAGAUAACGACGAUAUCGGAGAUCUCAGGCACAAGUCACUACCUGAAGGAAAUGUCGAUGCGAGUGGAAUCGACUUGGAAGCGUUGCAAACGAAAAAUCGUCCAGCCGAUGUAUUGGAGUACAAACGCUUCAUGAAUAAUGAACCGACGGCUGACAGAACAGUCCCGAAGAAGGCUUACGUUCACACGAAAACGCGGGUGAAGCCGCCACCAGAGAAGAUAAUGGUAAAACGAGACGUGGAGAAGCAAACGUUCUUGGACGAGGAUGACCUGAUCAAAGCCGAUGACAAUGAGGAAGAAAGCGAAAGAAAUAUGGAUAUGCCGUUGAUGAGGAGUCGAAGGAGCAUAAGAAUGCUUCACGGACCGAUUGGACCUCAGCUGUCUCCUCUAUCGGUUACAUACGCCGCGAAUUAUAACCAAAAGGAUAAUAAGGAAUGGGUGAAGCCGCUUUUCAGUUCCAUAGUCUACAGAUUACCGGAUAUUCAAAAAACAUUCUUCCUUCUGCUGUUGUUGGUAGUAGUCGGCGAAUUUUUCUCGGCGCCCGCGAUUACGUUAGCCGAUUCAGCUGUUAUUACUUUACUCGGUGAAGACGCCGACAGAUAUGGUCAUCAACGUAUGUUUGGAAGUCUUGGAUGGGGCUUGGCCAUGUUCUUCGUUGGAAUCGCUCUCGAUCAUAGCACCGCGUUCCCAGAUCACCCCUGUAAACCUGACGAGAGAGAGAAAAAUUACACGAUUUGUUUUGCGAUAUUCAGCGUUUUAAUGGGUGCCGCGUUGAUAACAGCAACGCAAAUUAAUUUUAAAUAUGACGUUGCUCCCGCUGAGCCGGAAGUAGUAAAACCUCCGGCUGAGCCAACGCGAGAAGAGCAACUUCAAAGUCAGUUAUCCCAGCAACUUAAUCUGCCUGGGCUUCAGGAUUCUUCCGCCGCUGUAGAUCCUAAGCCUCCGCCUCCCGAAGGGAAGACCAAGAUGUUCGCUCAAACGAUGAAGGAAAUACCGGAGUGGGUGACGGUAUUGAAGCAGUUCAAGGAUUUAAAAUGCGCGUCGUUCCUUUUCGUCGCGUGGUUCAUGGGAUUCGGCAUCGGAUUGAUUUUCACUUUCCUGUUCUGGCACCUUCAGGAUUACGGUGGUUCGCCGACUCUCUUCGGCGUUGCGUCUGUGAUCAAUCAUAUUUCCGAGAUCUUCGCGUAUUUCUUCAGUUUCAAACUUAUUCGACAGAUCGGGCACGUUAAGGUAUUGUGUAUGGGUCUAGGUGGAAAUGUACUCCGAUUUCUAUACAUAUCUUGGCUGAAAAAUCCGUGGUGGGUAUUACCCUUCGAGUUCAUUCAGGGUAUCACGCACGCGGCAGUAUGGGCGGCAUGCUGCAGUUACAUCGCUCAUAAUACACCGCCGCAGCUGCGUUCGAGCGCGCAGGGCGUUCUUCAGGGACUUCAUCACGGGCUUGGAAGAGGUUGCGGUGCGGUAAUCGGUGGCAUGUUCGUCGCAGCUUACGGUACGACUACGACUUUCCGAGCGUACGGUCUCAUCUGCAUCAUCGUCCUAGCGGUCUUCGUGUUCAUUAAUUUCUACAGAAAGGAUACCGGCUUCGUAUCCGAGCUGCCACAAACGGAAGAUCCGCAUCAAGUGGCCGAGGCUACCCACUUGGCGCCGCAUGGUGUACCGAGCAACGCGAUACCGCGUGCCCUGAGUUCCACGCGCUUGCACGAACUUGCUAAUCAAGAUGCUGGCUACGGGGCGACUUAUCAGACCGCUGGUGGAAAUCUCGCGGUACCCGGUGCUAACGGAGGCCCUGGCAACCCAACGAAUCCAUUCUUAAACGGCGGAGGUGGCGGCGAAGGUGGAUAUAAUUACGGUAUGACUGGCAAAGGAGAGGACGAGUAUAUUCGUAGGAGCUUCCAGAUCUACAGUGAAGUGGUGGGUAGGGAAUUCGAUGUCGUAAAACCAACUAUCCAACUACACGCCCAACAACCAUGCACCAAUCCCUUUCAUCAACACGACUACGACUGGUAACGACUCGAUCUCUCGCGAUGCCGCGGGUUGUUCCCCACGACUACGACACACUGAAAUGUGAACGGGAAGACAUUACUGAACAAAUAAUAAACUUAUGUCUGCUGCUUCCUUCUGCCUCGGUAAACGGAUAUUCACGAGAGUCUAGGGUAUCAGGGAAUUAGUGGUAAGACUAAAUCCAAUUAAUCGAAAGUGCCUAUCGAAAGUUUCCUGAUGCCCUGUGAUGCGACAUGUUACUUCUAUUUUUGCCCGACGGUUCUUCUUUUCGCCUUCCCGUAUGUACGAAUCAAGAAGGAAAAAGUAACCCAAUUUCGAACAAUGUCGAAUUUAUUCGAACAAACGUUGUUUGAUUAGUAAGACCACGCUUAAGAAAGUGUCCACAAGAGGCAACUUUCUAUUGUUCGCGCGAAUAUUUAUUUCUCAAAAUAUCCAGAAUAUAAUGGUAAGAAUAUAUAUGCAUCAGAAGUGUCAUGAAUAGAAGUUUUUAACGCGUUAUUAAUUUUCCUUAGAUUUAUCACGUUUGAGUCCUCAAAAUUCUAUUAGGAUUGAAUGAUAGUUUUCGUUUUUAGAGUUGUAUUAAUAACGUUUGUAUAACAAAAGCAAGUUAAAAUAUCUUUAUAAAGCAUUAUAUACAUUUAUAUUAUAUUGUAAUAUUAUUAUAUAAUUGUUUUACGUUGUUAUAGAUGUAUGUUAUAGAUUUAUAAAUACCGAUUACGUUUCAUAGAAAAAUAUUCAAGUAGCAAUUGGUGUUUGCACUAAAGCAAAAUAUCUAUAGCGCACUCACGUUUGAAAGAGUCAGUCAAAUGCACUUAAAAUGAUAAUCGUUAAGAAAAUGUAACAUACAAGAUUUUAACGAAUCGUGAGAUCUCAUCUAGACGAAACGCAUCUAAAAAUCGGCAGAAACUAAAUAGAAAAUUAAUAUAUAUAUAUAUAUACAAAAACCUGAGAGGCCUGCAAGGUUUGAUACGACAAAUACGAGUAUCGUAAUAGAUUCAUUGCUCUCUCAUCGGUGGCAUAAUUUAAAAGAAAAUGUACGCGUAUGAAGCUAAAUUAAUUGAAGAGACAACUCUUGCGUCACCUGUAAAUAUUCUACACGCUCUUAGGUAUAGACUCUACUAUUCACACUUGUUUUCUGUUUUCUAACAGAUUGUUGAUCGUUAUUUACAAUCCACGUUACGAGACUAUCCGCAUUAACUUCUUAGAAUCUAUUAUUAAAUGAACUCUAUCUAUUAAAUACUUUUAUUGUAUGUAUAAGGUAUAUGUUGUGACAACAUUGUAUAAUAUUGUUGAAAAAAGAAAAUGAAAAAA